GACGAACGCUGGCGGCGUGCUUAACACAUGCAAGUCGAACGGAAAGGCCUCUUUCGGGGGGUACUCGAGUGGCGAACGGGUGAGUAACACGUGAGUAACCUGCCCUUGACUUUGGGAUAACUUCAGGAAACUGGGGCUAAUACCGGAUAGGAGCUCCUGCUGCAUGGUGGGGGUUGGAAAGUUUCGGCGGUUGGGGAUGGACUCGCGGCUUAUCAGCUUGUUGGUGGGGUAGUGGCUUACCAAGGCUUUGACGGGUAGCCGGCCUGAGAGGGUGACCGGCCACAGUGGGACUGGGAUACGGCCCAGACUCCUACGGGAGGCAGCAGUGGGGAAGAUUGCACAAUGGGUGGAAGCCUGAUGCAGCAACGCCGUGUGCGGGAUGACGGCCUUCGGGUUGUAAACCGCUUUCGCUCAUGACGAAGCUUUGUGUGACGGUAGUGGGUAAAGAAGCACCGGCUAACUACGUG
rnacentral:rRNA from 1 species